ensembl:sRNA
AAAUAGCCCUGAUAGAAGUGAAAAUCCUUUUCUAUUUUUCCUUUAAAAAUAGAAAAGAUUGCAACGAAUAGCAGGAAUAGCU